rnacentral:rRNA from 1 species
CUGCUGCCUUCCGUAGGAGUUUGGACCGUGUCUCAGUUCCAAUGUGGGGGUAACCUUCCGUCUCACGAACCCUA